CCUACGGGAGGCAGCAGUGGGGAAUAUUGCACAAUGGGGGAAACCCUGAUGCAGCGACGCCGCGUGAGUGAAGAAGUAUUUCGGUACGUAAAGCUCUAUCAGCAGGGAAGAAAAUGCCGGUACCUGACUAAGAAGCCCCGGCUAACUACGUGCCAGCAGCCGCGGUAAUACGUAGGGGGCAAGCGUUAUCCGGAUUUACUGGAUGUAAAGGGAGCGUAGACGGCAGCGCAAGUCUGGAGUGAAAUCCCAUGGCUUAACCAUGGAACUGCUUUGGAAACUGUGCAGCUAGAGUGCAGGAGAGGUAAGCGGAAUGCGUAGUGUAGCGGUGAAAUGCGUAGAUAUUAGGAGGAACACCAGUUGCGAAGGCGGCUUACUGGACUGUAACUGACGUUGAGGCUCGAAAGCGUGGGGAGCAAACAGGAUUAGAUACCCUGGUAGUC
rnacentral:rRNA from 1 species